UACGGAGGGUGCAAGCGUUAAUCGGAAUUACUGGGCGUAAAGCGUGCGUAGGUGGUUUGUUAAGUCCGUUGUGAAAGCCCCGAGCUCAACUUGGGAAUUGCAGUGGAUACUGGCAAGCUGGAGUACGGCAGAGGGGGGUGGAAUUCCACGUGUAGCAGUGAAAUGCGUAGAUAUGCGGAGGAACACCGAUGGCGAAGGCAGUCCCCUGGGCCUGUACUGACGCUCAUGCACGAAAGCGUGGGGAGCAAACAGG
rnacentral:rRNA from 1 species